ACCAAUAGUUAACCUCCUCCCUCUAUGCACCCACCUCCUUAAUUAUCUACACCUCACGGCCAAACAUGUGGAGAAGGGGGAACACGAACUUAUCUUAUUGGGGGGCACCACCACAAAUCCUCCAUCGAUCUCACCUGAUCCACCGCCCCCGCCGUUGGCUUGGCACGCAUCCAGGUUUCUCCCACUUGAGCCUUCGGUUAUGCUAUCACGGCUGGACAAGAAACUAUCACGGUGCCGCCGGCCAUCUCCACCGCCGGCACCAUCGUGCUCUCCCUGUAAGCCCCGCUCCCCCGGAUCCAUUUUGAUAGUCGCAGCCGGGAACGACUACAUGACAAAGACGCAUAAGGUGUCAGAGAUGCGGUUCAGGGCGACGGGGAUGGCAAGGUCAUGCGUCGCUGCGCCGGGAGACAGCGUCUACACCGCUAGAAGAAGGUCGCGCGGCGCUAAGCAAAGUAAGAGGCUCUCCAAGAUGGUAUAUGCUGCUUCUGUUUACUCACUUUUUUUGACCUUUUCAGCUAAUCAUAGUUCAGUUGUGAGAAGUCAAUAAGAAUUCAGUACUGCCAGAACUAUCCCACGUUCAUGCAGUUCGGUUGGUGUUAUGUUCUAAAUGCUUGGUGAGAUUUCCAGGGCUUCAUUUGAGUUGUGCCUUUCUCUGCAUCAUCCAGGUUCAGCAAAAACAUAGUUUCUCCUUUGUAGUGAUUACAAAAAUUAGGCUUGCUUCUCUCCGUUUCCUAUCUAGAUCUUCAUGUGCAGGUUGUUACUAGCUAGUUGUCUUCAUUAAUUUAGAUAAAUGCUACUUUGUUGACCUCUUGGUUGAUAGAAAUUUAGAUCAAAUGUCAAUAGUGCAGGGGCAGGGGGCUACUCGAUGGCCGAAAAAGUGAAGGUUCAGUUGCGGUUCCCAGAUGCACAGCAGUGGUGCGGCGACUCCCAUACGCACAAGGAUGGCGCGACGACUGCGAGAUGUACAGAAGCGGCACGGCGACUCUACAGUGAUGGUUCAUAGUGCAGCACGGUUACAGAAACUGGGUUGUUCUAGGUCGUGACGACGUUACAUGGUGACUGUGACGUCAAAGGACAACACAUGGUUCAGAUUCAUCAGUAUAUUUUGAGAUGCAUGGCCAGAUGUUGAUUCCAAGGUCGAGAAUGGUGUUGCUGCUGGAUAGUCUUAUGUUAUGUUUUAGGAUAUCAUUUCCGAUGUCAAUGUUUCAAAAAUUGUAAUUUAGAAUAGUUGAGAAUGAUUGAAAGAUCCAAAAUUGGGCUAGUACUAAUUAGUACUCCUAUGCUAGAGUAUCACAACUUGUAAUCUUUGGAUCAUGUUCUUUGUAAUGCAACAGAGGA